rnacentral:rRNA from 1 species
GAUGAACGCUGGCGGCGUGCCUAAUACAUGCAAGUCGAGCGAACAGACGAGGAGCUUGCUCCUCUGAUGUUAGCGGCGGACGGGUGAGUAACACGUGGAUAACCUACCUAUAAGACUGGGAUAACUUCGGGAAACCGGAGCUAAUACCGGAUAAUAUAUUGAACCGCAUGGUUCAACAGUGAAAGACGGUCUUGCUGUCACUUAUAGAUGGAUCCGCGCCGCAUUAGCUAGUUGGUAAGGUAACGGCUUACCAAGGCAACGAUGCGUAGCCGACCUGAGAGGGUGAUCGGCCACACUGGAACUGAGACACGGUCCAGACUCCUACGGGAGGCAGCAGUAGGGAAUCUUCCGCAAUGGGCGAAAGCCUGACGGAGCAACGCCGCGUGAGUGAUGAAGGUCUUCGGAUCGUAAAACUCUGUUAUUAGGGAAGAACAAAUGUGUAAGUAACUAUGCACGUCUUGACGGUACCUAAUCAGAAAGCCACGGCUAACUACGUG